CUUUGAUGUGCAGGAUAAAAUCAAAAGCUUGACUCUAGUACAUUAUUUCCCAUGAAUGCACACAUCAGUCAUUUCAACAUGUCACACAGGAAACGUAUACAUGCCACUUUUAGUGAUGCUUAAACUAAUAAUAUAUCUUCAUUAGAUAAAGCUGCUUGGUAAGUGGAAAUACGUGAUGGGGAAAAAAUUUCCUUAAGAUAUAAAUACAGUGUGACAGCUUCUGGGUGGGGGUUUUGCAAGUUGAGGAAUAAUUUCUAGUAAGAAGUUCCUGCAUCAAGGGGAAGAAAUUCAUUGAAAAGCUGAUCAAACAGAUUACACCUCAUCCUCUCCUCCACCACCCCCACUGACGUGUCUGUGGUCGUGGUGUCAGAACGAGAAUGCCAAUAUAAGGUAGGGGAGUCAACUUUACUGCCGACAGACAAAGCUGUGGCUCUUUCAAAGACAAGAGAGACAUGUGGACCUUCCAGAUGAAGCCUUCCACACUCCUGGUGAUGACGACGACAGUCGUGUUGGUGUACUCGGCAACCGUCCGUACUUCUAUCCAACCUCCUGACGAAUGCUCAGUCCUAUUGCAUAAAAUGGAAGACGAGGUUGGGAAUUUUCAAAAUGCAACGGUAGGAAGCUGCAAACUUUAUUUCCUUCUCUGGUGAUUUUAUGGUUUUAACGUACUGAUGUACUUGUCAUUUCAGUGGAACAAUAUAAAUGUACAAAAGCCAACAAAUAACUGCCCGGUAUGUUGAAAACCAAUUCUUUUUUCCUGUUAUUGUCCAUGCAGCCCAUUCAAACUUGAUGCAAUGUGUAGGUGUGCUUACCUUUUAAGCCUUUCCACACCUAAAAUCAUUAUCAACAAAAAUGGAAAAGCAAAUAUUUGACAAGAAAUAAGCUUCUUCCACGAUAAAAUAAGAAUCAGUCUUCAGUCUGAAUGGGUUUGGAGAUGUAGACAAAUCAACUCUAAAAUCCUGUGUGCUGAAUAUGAAUAACCACCAACUUCUCCUUGUAGAAAAACUUCUUCUGCCAGGCUGAGAAGGUUCUGGAAAGUAUUACAAACAACACAGUGAAGGCCUCCUUUACAAACCUAGCUGGCAUWUUGAAUAAAUACAAUAAGAAAUGUCAUACCAGCUGCAACCUGGUCAAAAAGGACACGUAUCACCUACAAAAGUUCCUGAAGAAAAUGAAGACAUGUCUGGACUACGCCUUACGUAGCAAGCAUUAAACAAUGACAUUGAGGGUUAUUUAACACGUUAGUGAAAAGUUAUUUAUUAAACUAUUUAUUUUUUCUACUUUUUUAAAUCUAUUGUCUGUUCAUGGUUUUAGCAGUUUUACAUCAAUAAAUAAAAAAAUGUGACAGUGAUCUGUUGUACGAGUGGUUCGUUAAACCAAACCUGGGYCUAUUAUUUUUUUUAAUGUGCAUGUUGCUACACUCUGCUGGUUCAUAAUAACCAGAAACAGCCAAGAACUACCUGUGAUUUAAUCAUGACUCAAAAAAAGGAAGAGCAUCAAGAAAGUGAGAUAUGACUGAUAUAAUAAUUUAAUAAAUAAAAUCCAGAGGUUUGUCGGUGUAAACAUUUGACAUACAGUAUGAUAGAAAAUAAAAGUUAGGUUUCAUUCACUACAGAACAUCAUGAAAGCAAAUAACCCUACACUGGUGCAUUUUAUAUAUACAUAUACUAAGGCAUACAUUAUCUAUGGUGCAUCUCACAAGCGUUCAGACGUGGAAAUAAAAAUGUGACCUGUUUAGUGUAAGAAAUGGCACAGACUAAGAGCUGAAUGGCAUGCAUGCUUCAAUCUUCUGACCUAAAAGAAAACACUUUAAAUAUCAUUUAUAAUGAUAGUUUACAAACUUUUAUCUUCUUGGUGUCAACCGAACUCAACAAUGGGGCCUUGGCUCAUUUUAGGAGUAGAAUAAAUUGGUGUUAACUGGAGUCCAAUGACGACUGUUGUAGUGGUUUGUUUAACUUUAAUCUACCGAUCACAAUGCAGGAAAU